UGAUGGAGGGGGAUAACUACUGGAAACGGUGGCUAAUACCGCAUAACGUCGCAAGACCAAAGAGGGGGACCUUCGGGCCUCUUGCCAUCAGAUGUGCCCAGAUGGGAUUAGCUUGUUGGUGAGGUAAUGGCUCACCAAGGCGACGAUCCCUAGCUGGUCUGAGAGGAUGACCAGCCACACUGGAACUGAGACACGGUCCAGACUCCUACGGGAGGCAGCAGUGGGGAAUAUUGCACAAUGGGCGCAAGCCUGAUG
rnacentral:rRNA from 2 species